GAACCGUACGAACGUUAUUCGGAAUCACUGGGCUUAAAGGGUGCGUAGGCGGCCAGGCAAGUUGGGUGUGAAAUCCCUCGGCUCAACCGAGGAACUGCGCUCAAAACUGCUUGGCUAGAGGGAGAUAGAGGUGAGCGGAACUUAGGGUGGAGCGGUGAAAUGCGUUGAUAUCCUAAGGAACGCCUGUGGCGAAAGCGGCUCACUGGAUCUCUUCUGACGCUGAGGCACGAAAGCCAGGGUAGCGAACGGGGGAUUAGAUACCCCGGUAGUCCUGGCUGUAAACGAUGAGCACUGGGUUGAGGCUCCUCCAUAGGCUUCCGGCCGAAGCGAAAGUGUUAAGUGCUCCGCCUGGGGAGUAUGGUCGCAAGGCUG
rnacentral:rRNA from 1 species